ACGCCUCCCUGCCAAAGGUCUUGAGGGGAAUCUCUAUUUAAGUCAAUUUUCAUCCCAAAAUUUCAUUUUGAUGAUAUCCUCUGAACCCUAGGAUGGUUUUCUAUCCUCUACUUAUUUUCCAUUCCAAAGGUAGCGAUCUGACUGGCUCUCUGGAAGCUUUGUGCAGUUGGUGUGCGACUGCACAUCACAUUGUGAAUUACACACACCCAACGCACAAUAAGGGGCAAAGGAGAAUUGGUUGGCUGAUUAAUUGGAAGCCUUGUGUGGACCGCACACCUCUCUGCAAAAAGUCCCAACGGAAAACUCUAUCUAAGUCAAUUUUCAUCUGAAACUUUCAUUCUUUCAAUAUCCUCUGAAGUCCUUUCCUCAUCCUCUGUUCCAAAGGUAUGUUUCUCCCAUGAAAUUCUAAGAAAUUCCAAGUAUACCAAUCAUUCUUUUACUUAUUUUUAGUGAAAUCAUAUAACAUAUUACCCUAGGAUUUUCAAGAAAAACUUAAUAAAAAAUUCGAAGAAUUGAAUUCUUGAAACUACUUCUUCAAGCUAGGGUUCUUCCUUGAUCUUUUAGAAAAAAAUUAAGGUAUGUAAGAACUCAAUGAGAAAUUUCUUACAUCCUCAUGCCAACAACCUCUAAAACUUGUUAUGUAUAAGAGUAAAGUUAUGAUUUUUAUACCCAUGUUUAUAUUUUCCUUGUUCUACAAAUUGGGUUGAUUUUAUUGAUGCUUAAAUUUGAAAAACUAAAAAAUCAUAUGAAAGUUUGAAUCUUUUACACCUAUUGAUAUCCUCUCAUGAGUUUGAAAGAGUUUUGUAUUUAGAAUGUUCAAUUGGUUGCCCUUUUUUUAAAUUUGGGUAUGCUUGUCAUGUAAUUUCCUUGAUUCUUAUUCAUCGCAUGUUUUGAGAAAGAUUUAGUUAUCACGAAAGGAUGAUUUUUGAGUAAAGACUUAUACUUUAUCUUCAGAUAGACAAAAAUUCUUACAUUAUAUGAGCAUAUGUUCCACCUUCUCUUUUUUUGCACGCCACAACAUAUAGUGUGUGCAUUUUUUUUAGUACCCACCAUAGCAAGGACUAUCUCCCUUGAGGAAUCCUUCAAUAGUAGUGCACAAAACGACAACCCUUCCCCUGAAAAAUAAGGUUCUCUUCCAACGAACAAAAUACAUAAUUAUCUAUAUUCAUUCUGAUUCUAGUACUACUAACCUCAAAAAUAGCAAAAGUUUGUUGCUUUAUGAAGAAACAGGGCCUCAAAAAAAAGGCAAAGAAUACGGAGGUGGGUUUUUUGAUCUACAAAUGGUGAUGAUUAGGGAACAGAACCGUGCACGCACUCCCUCAACAAUAUAAAGUAACCCUAGCAUUCAAAUAGAACACAAAUGGCAAAUUGCCAACAGAGGAAGAAAUUAAAAGUCAUCAAAGCAAAUGGAUGUUGUUGAUGAAAUGAGUUCUUUUUUUUUGUGACAUUUUUGUUGUUUGGCUAAAAGGUCUAUGAUUUCCGUGCUUAAUUUUCCUUAAAUUAUUAAAAAUGGAUUGGAUCUAGUGGUAAUAUUUAACUGAAUAUUAUUGGAGUCAAGAAUAUAUCGGAAACAACCUCUCCACCUCUGAGGUAGGGAUAAGGUUGCAUACAUUGUAUCCUCCUAGGCUCCACAUUUUGAGAUUACACUCAGUAUGUUGUUAUUUUUGUUGUCACUACUUUGGUAUUUCAUUGUAAUAAAAAGCCAAAUUUGAAGUC